rnacentral:rRNA from 1 species
UACGGAGGGGGCUAGCGUUGUUCGGAAUUACUGGGCGUAAAGCGCACGUAGGCGGCUUUGCAAGUUAGAGGUGAAAGCCCGGAGCUUAACUCCGGAAUUGCCUUUAAAACUGCAUCGCUAGAAUUGUGGAGAGGUGAGUGGAAUUCCGAGUGUAGAGGUGAAAUUCGUAGAUAUUCGGAAGAACACCAGUGGCGAAGGCGGCUCACUGGCCCGAUACUGACGCUGAGGCACGAAAGCGUGGGGAGCAAACAGG